GACGAGGUGGCCGAGAGUGGUUAAGGCGUUGGACUGCUAAUCCAAUGUGCUCUGCACGCGUGGGUUCAAACUCCAUCUUCGUCG
rnacentral:tRNA from 1 species